GACGAACGCUGGCGGCGUGCUUAACACAUGCAAGUCGAACGGAAAGGCCCUGCUUUUGUGGGGUGCUCGAGUGGUGAACGGGUGAGUAACACGUGAGUAACCUGCCCUUGACUUUGGGAUAACUUCAGGAAACUGGGGCUAAUACCGGAUAGGAGCUCCUGCUGCAUGGUGGGGGUUGGAAAGUUUCGGCGGUUGGGGAUGGACUCGCGGCUUAUCAGCUUGAUGGUGGGGUAGUGGCUUACCAAGGCUUUGACGGGUAGCCGGCCUGAGAGGGUGACCGGCCACAUUGGGACUGAGAUACGGCCCAGACUCCUACGGGAGGCAGCAGUGGGGAAUAUUGCACAAUGGGCGGAAGCCUGAUGCAGCAACGCCGCGUGCGGGAUGACGGCCUUCGGGUUGUAAACCGCUUUCGCCUGUGACGAAGCGUGAGUGACGGUAAUGGGUAAAGAAGCACCGGCUAACUACGUG
rnacentral:rRNA from 1 species